ensembl:lncRNA
UGUUUGUUUUCCAGACUGGGUCUCUUUCUGAAGCCCUGGACGGCCUGGAACUCACUGUGCGGACCAAGGUCGCCUCAAACUCACAAAAUCUUCUUUCUGUCUCCUGGGUACUGGGAUUAAAGAAAGGCAGCCAGGAGGAGGCUCUGAUUCCACACUGGGCGGAGCUUAGGCAUAAGGACCUCAAAGGCCACCGCCCCAGUGACGCACUUCCUCCAACAAUCUCCUAAUAGUGCCACUUCCUGUGGGCCAAACAUUCAAACAGAUUUGGAAAGCCAUUGGAGAGACAACCAAGUGCAAUGGGGGAAAAAAGCUCAAAAGGACCCCAAAGGCACUCUACAUGGUGGAAGAAGACAUUCUCAAGUCAAGCUGCGGAGCAGACUGAGGGCAGAGCAGACUGAGGGCAGAGUAGCUGCCUGGAAGAAGCAGAAACCAGCUGAGCUGCCUGAGGCUGUGCAGGAGCUCCAGGUCCCCAGUGUUGUGCGCUGUCACCCAUGCUGGAGUGGAACUUGAUAAUGCACUGCAAUCAAGUCAUUUGUGCUCUUGCACAGAGUGCCCCACCCAUAUUCCUGUAUGCAGGUAUGCAGUACAACGUAAGACCAGUAGCUGACAUCCAGAUGUUCAAGAGGUGGGAGAUAAGUCCUUGUUAGUGUAGACAGCCUGCACCAGAAACAGGACCCAGUGGCCCCUGAGCUGGAUCUGACCUGAAAGCCUCCUCCCUGAGGACUAACUUUCAUGGAACUAGAACGUGCUGUGCAAGCUUCCAGUGUAGUCCUCACCACUCGUCAAAGAAACGUCUCUUUGUAACAGAUGAAGACCAUUACAGAAAACCACAUUUGAUCAAAAUGCAGAGAACAAGAGACCACAUGUUGCCCACCUCCACUGAUACAUCUACGACUCCGGCACCAAGGGUUCCUGGAUCAUUGUAAAAGAAGGGGCAGAAAAAUAGGUGAGAGCCACAGGAAAGGAAGUUUGCUGUGAUAUUGUACCCCCUACACAUGCCAGAGAAGCAGCGCUCAUGAAGUCUCAUCGCAUGGCUACCUAACUCAAACAUGAACAAAGACGACAGUAGUGGACAUGCUCCCGUGGAAGGGGAAAACUCAGGAGGCUACAACCUUAGACAAAGAAUUACAGGCAACGAAGUGGAGAAAUAGUCUCCCCUAGAGAAGAGAACUUCCUACUGGUCAUCCAGCACUAAGUGACCAGUUCUGAAAUCACAAGCCACAUAUAUAAAAGUAACACUGUAAGGGCUAAGUGGGUUGUAUUUAUAUAUUAAGGAAUACACAUAUGGAUAUAUAUGAAUAUAUAUAUUUAGGACUAUAUGUAUUUAGGAAUAUAUGUGUAUGUAUAUGUGUUUGUAUGUAUGUGUAAGAACAAU